UACGUAGGUGGCAAGCGUUGUCCGGAUUUACUGGGUGUAAAGGGCGUGCAGCCGGAGAGACAAGUCAGAUGUGAAAUCCACGGGCUCAACUCGUGAACUGCAUUUGAAACUGUUUCCCUUGAGUGUCGGAGAGGUAAUCGGAAUUCCUUGUGUAGCGGUGAAAUGCGUAGAUAUAAGGAAGAACACCAGUGGCGAAGGCGGAUUACUGGACGAUAACUGACGGUGAGGCGCGAAAGUGUGGGGAGCAAACAGG
rnacentral:rRNA from 1 species